GGAGAGGUGACCGAGCGGUCGAAGGUGCAGCACUGGAAAUGCUGUGUAGUCCAAAAGGCUACCGGGGGUUCGAAUCCCCCCCUCUCCGCCA
rnacentral:tRNA from 1 species